UUGCUGCCACCGUGUCUGUCAUCUUGCGGUUCUCAAACUAUGGGGGCACUUUUUUUUUCUUUAAAAAGUGCCGCCAGGUUUUAGGGCCUGCCGGUUGAGAAAACGGCGAUCGGAAACA
rnacentral:pre_miRNA from 14 species